CAGGCGUCUAAGGUAGACUCCCACUGCAUUACCUUACUGAUGAGUCUACUAGUGGGAAGUCGGGACGAAACGCCAA
rnacentral:hammerhead_ribozyme from 15 species